rnacentral:misc_RNA from 1 species
CCGAGUUAGGGUCCGAAUGGGCCUGACCUCCCAACCCUUUGUUUACUUGACCCUAUGUUGCUUCGGCGGGCCCGCCUUUACCGGCCGCCGGGGGUGGCUGAACUCCCCUGGCCCGCGCCCGUCGAUGGCCCUCACCUUUUAAAACUCCAUAUAAGUCAUGUUGUCUGUCUGAGGACCAGCCUUUUUGAAACAAAAGCAAA